AGUGGACGCUGGCGGUAGGCCUAACACAUGCAAGUCGAACGGCAGCACAGUAAGAGCUUGCUCUUACGGGUGGCGAGUGGCGGACGGGUGAGGAAUACAUCGGAAUCUACUUUUUCGUGGGGGAUAACGUAGGGAAACUUACGCUAAUACCGCAUACGACCUACGGGUGAAAGCAGGGGAUCUUCGGACCUUGCGCGAUUGAAUGAGCCGAUGUCGGAUUAGCUAGUUGACGGGGUAAAGGCCCACCAAGGCGACGAUCCGUAGCUGGUCUGAGAGGAUGAUCAGCCACACUGGAACUGAGGCACGGUCCAGACUCCUACGGGAGGCAGCAGUGGGGAAUAUUGGACAAUGGGCGCAAGCCUGAUCCAGCCAUACCGCGUGGGUGAAGAAGGCCUUCGGGUUGUAAAGCCCUUUUGUUGGGAAAGAAAAGCAGCAGGUUAAUACCCCGCUGUUCUGACGGUACCCAAAGAAUAAGCACCGGCUAACUUCGUG
rnacentral:rRNA from 1 species